rnacentral:rRNA from 2 species
GCAUAUCAAUAAGCGGAGGAAAAGAAACCAACAGGGAUUGCCCUAGUAACGGCGAGUGAAGCGGCAACAGCUCAAAUUUGAAAUCUGGCCUCGGCCCGAGUUGUAAUUUGUAGAGGAAGCUUUUGGCGCGGCACCUUCCGAGUCCCCUGGAACGGGGCGCCAGAGAGGGUGAGAGCCCCGUAUGGUUGGAUGCCUAGCCUGUGUAAAGCUCCUUCGACGAGUCGAGUAGUUUGGGAAUGCUGCUCAAAAUGGGAGGUAAAUUUCUUCUAAAGCUAAAUACCGGCCAGAGACCGAUAGCGCACAAGUAGAGUGAUCGAAAGAUGAAAAGCACUUUGAAAAGAGGGUUAAAUAGCACGUGAAAUUGUUGAAAGGGAAGCGCUUGUGACCAGACUUGCGCCGGGCUGAUCAUCCGGUGUUCUCACCGGUGCACUCUGCCCGGCUCAGGCCAGCAUCGGUUCUCGCGGGGGGACAAAGGUCCCGGGAACGUAGCUCCCUCGGGAGUGUUAUAGCCCGGGGCGCAAUGCCCUCGCGGGGACCGAGGCUCGCGCUCUGCAAGGAUG